rnacentral:tRNA from 1 species
UCCAGGGUAGCCUAGUGGACAUGGUAUCUGCCCAGUAAGCAGAACACUGUGGGUUUGAUUCCCAUCCCUGGAC